rnacentral:rRNA from 1 species
UCGACGGCAGCACAGGUAGCAAUACCGGGUGGCGAGUGGCGGACGGGUGAGUAAAGCAUCGGGAUCUACCCUGACGUGGGGGAUAACCUCGGGAAACCGGGACUAAUACCGCAUACGUCCUACGGGAGAAAGCGGGGGACCUUCGGGCCUCGCGCGGCAGGACGAACCGAUGUGCGAUUAGCUAGUUGGCGGGGUAACGGCCCACCAAGGCGACGAUCGCUAGCUGGUCUGAGAGGAUGAUCAGCCACACUGGGACUGGGACACGGCCCAGACUCCUACGGGAGGCAGCAGUGGGGAAUAUUGGACAAUGGGCGCAAGCCUGAUCCAGCAAUGCCGCGUGUGUGAAGAAGGCCUUCGGGUUGUAAAGCACUUUUAUCAGGAGCGAAAUACCACGGGUUAAUACCCUAUGGGGCUGACGGUACCUGAGGAAUAAGCACCGGCUAACUUCGUGCCAGCAGCCGCGGUAAUACGAAGGGUGCAAGCGUUAAUCGGAACUACUGGGCGUAAAGGGUGCGUAGGCGGUUCGUUAAGUCUGUUGUGAAAUCCCCGGGCUCAACCUGGGAAUGGCAAUGGAUACUGGCGAGCUAGAGUGUGUCAGAGGAUGGUGGAAUUUCCGGUGUAGCGGUGAAAUGCGUAGAGAUCGGAAGGAACAUCAGUGGCGAAGGCGGCCAUCUGGGACAACACUGACGCUGAAGCACGAAAGCGUGGGGAGCAAACAGGAUUAGAUACCCUGGUAGUCCACGCCCUAAACGAUGCGAACUGGAUGUUGGUCUCAACUCGGAGAUCAGUGUCGAAGCUAACGCGUUAAGUUCGCCGC